rnacentral:rRNA from 1 species
GGCGGUAUUUUAGUCUAUUCAGAGGAAUCUGUCCUAUAAUUGAUAAUCCACGAUUUAAUUUACUUUUAGAAAAAAUUUAUAUAUCGUCGUAGUUUGAAUAUUUUAAAAGAAUUUUAAUGUUCAAAAUUUUUUUAUAAAAUUAAAUCAGAUCAAGGUGUAGUUUAUAUAAAAGAAGAGAUGGAUUACAUUAAAUUUAUUUAAAGAUUAAUUUUUGUAAAAUUUUAUGAAUAUGGAUUUGAUAGUAAUUUUUUUAAAAUUUUUAAAAUGAUUUAAGCUCUAAAAUAUGUA